CGUAUUGUUCGGUCUACAUAAUGACGAGUCAGGUCAGGCUCCGCACUAGGUUCGGUCACCUAGGGGAUGGAGACAUGGAAGGGAUCUCGUGCGCUAUAAGUCUAACGAAAGUUGAGCUUGCGACAUGGGUCUAUGCCUGGAUAAGUUGUGUAGGUUGCCGCAUACG
rfam:Havel river tombusvirus strain S coat protein and movement protein genes, complete cds; and unknown gene.